GACGAACGCUGGCGGCGUGCUUAACACAUGCAAGUCGAACGGAAAGGCCCUGCUUGCAGGGUACUCGAGUUGCGAACGGGUGAGUAACACGUGGGUGAUCUGCCCUCCACUUCGGGAUAAGCCUGGGAAACUGGGUCUAAUACCGGAUAGGAGCCAUUUUUAGUGUGAUGGUUGGAAAGUUUUUUCGGUGUUGGGUGAGCUCGCGGCCUAUCGGCUUGUUGGUGGGGUAAUGGCCUACCAAGGCGGCGACGGGUAGCCGGCCUGUGAGGGUGGACGGCCACACUGGGACUGAGAGGCGGCCCAGGCACCUACGGGAGGCAGCUGGGGGGAAUAUUGCACAAUGGGCGCAAGCCUGAUGCAGAGACGCCGCGUGGGGGAUGACGGCCUUAGGGUUGUAAAAUCAUUUCGCUAGGGACGAAGCUUUUUGUGACGGUACCUAGAUAAGAAGCACCGGCUAACUACGUG
rnacentral:rRNA from 1 species